AUUUGUAGUGCUAUCACUGGUCAUGAGUGUUGGUGAAACAGGUAUUGCUAUGCUGAUGUCAGUCAGAAUGGCUCCUCCUCUUCCUCUGAUGUUUCUGAUCUUGAUUCACGGGGUUUCUAGUGCUGAAUGGGGUAUCUUCAGGUGGAGUCUCCUGAGACAGUGACAGAGGGAGAUUCAGUCCGUCUGACAUGUAAAAGCAGCUGCGCUCUGACUGACAGAGCAACAUUCAUCUGGUACAGAAACUCACAGCCAUUAACUGAGAGAAGAGACAGAAAC